UGGGCCUAAAGCGUCCGUAGCUGGCUUGGAAAAUCCUUUGUGAAAUCUUGGGGCCUAACCUCAAGGCGUGCAGGGGACACUUCCAAGCUUGGAACCGGGAGGAGCUAGGGGUAUGCAAAGGGGAGCGGUAAAAUGCUGUAAUCCUUUGUAGACCACCUGUGGCGAAGGCGCCUAGCUAGAACGGAUUCGACAGUGAGGGACGAAAGCUAGGGGAGCGAUCCGGAUUAGAUACCCGAGUAGUCCUAGCCGUAAACGCUGCGAGCAAGGCGUUGCAUGUUCCAUGAGAAUAUGCAGUGUCGAAACGAAGGUGUUAAGCUCGCCGCCUGGGAAGUACGGUCGCAAGACUGAAACUUAAAGGAAUUGGCGGGGGAGCACAACAAGGGGUGCGGCGUGCGGUUUAAUCUAAUUCCACGCAGAGAACCUCACCAGAGGCGACGGCAGGAUGAAAGUCAGUCUGAAGGGCUUACUUGACGAGCCGAGAGGUAGUGCAUGGCCGCCGUCAGCUCGUGCCGUAAGGUGUCCUGUCAAGUCAGGUAACGAGCGAGACCUGUACCCAUAAUUGCUAACGGCCAGCUUGCUGGGACCGAGCACUUUAUGGGAACUGCCCUGGAAACAGGGAGGAAGGUGCAGGCAACGGUAGGUCUGUAUGCUCCGAAUCCUCUGGGCUACACGCGCGCAACAAUGGUAAGGACAAUGGGAUGCGACUCCGAAAGGAGAAGCUAAACCUCUAAACCUUAUCCCAGUAUAGAUCGGGGGUUGCAACUC
rnacentral:rRNA from 1 species